UCAUGGCUCAGAGUGAACGCUGGCGGCAGGCCUAAUACAUGCAAGUCGAACGGCAGCACAGCAGAGCUUGCUCUGUGGGUGGCGAGUGGCGGACGGGUGAGGAAUACGUGGGAAUCUGCCCAGUCGUGGGGGAUAACGUAGGGAAACUUACGCUAAUACCGCAUGCGCCCUUCGGGGGAAAGCCGGGGGACCUUCGGGCCUGGCGCGAUUGGAUGAGCCCACGUCGGAUUAGCUAGUUGGCGGGUAAAGGCCCACCAAGGCGACGAUCCGUAGCUGGUCUGAGAGGAUGAUCAGCCACACUGGAACUGAGACACGGUCCAGACUCCUACGGGAGGCAGCAGUAGGGAAUAUUGGACAAUGGGCGCAAGCCUGAUCCAGCCAUGCCGCGUGAGUGAAGAAGGCCCUCGGGUUGUAAAGCUCUUUUGUCCGGAAAGAAAAGCGCCGGGUUAAUACCCUGGUGUCCUGACGGUACCGGAAGAAUAAGCACCGGCUAACUUCGUG
rnacentral:rRNA from 1 species